GACGAACGCUGGCGGCGUGCCUAAUACAUGCAAGUCGAGCGGAUGAAAGAGGAGCUUGCUCCUCUAGAUUCAGCGGCGGACGGGUGAGUAACACGUGGGCAACCUGCCCUGUAGAUUGGGAUAACUCCGGGAAACCGGGGCUAAUACCGAAUAAUCCUUCGGACCUCAUGGUCCGAUGUUGAAAGACGGUUGCGGCUGUCACUACAGGAUGGGCCCGCGGCGCAUUAGCUAGUUGGUGAGGUAACGGCUCACCAAGGCCACGAUGCGUAGCCGACCUGAGAGGGUGAUCGGCCACACUGGGACUGAGACACGGCCCAGACUCCUACGGGAGGCAGCAGUAGGGAAUCUUCCACAAUGGACGAAAGUCUGAUGGAGCAACGCCGCGUGAGUGAAGAAGGUUCUCGGAUCGUAAAACUCUGUUGUGAGGGAAGAACAAGUACCGGAGUAACUGCCGGUGCCUUGACGGUACCUCAUUAGAAAGCCACGGCUAACUACGUGCCAGCAGCCGCAGUAACAC
rnacentral:rRNA from 1 species